UACAGAGGGUGCGAGCGUUAAUCGGAAUUACUGGGCGUAAAGCGCGCGUAGGCGGCAUUGCAAGUCGGGUGUGAAAUCCCCAGGCUUAACCUGGGAACUGCAUUCGAGACUGCAUUGCUAGAGUAUGGGAGAGGGAAGUGGAAUUUCCGGUGUAGCGGUGAAAUGCGUAGAGAUCGGGAAGAACAUCGGUGGCGAAGGCGGCCUGCUGGGCUGUUGCUGACGCUGAGGCGCGACAGCGUGGGGAGCAAACAGG
rnacentral:rRNA from 1 species